GACAGAGGGUGCAAACGUUGUUCGGAAUUACUGGGCGUAAAGCGCGUGUAGGCGGUCGUGCAAGUCGGGUGUGAAAGCCCUCGGCUCAACCGGGGAAGUGCACUCGAAACUGCAUGACUAGAGUCUCGGAGAGGAUAGUGGAAUUCUCGGUGUAGAGGUGAAAUUCGCAGAUAUCGAGAGGAACACCGGUGGCGAAGGCGGCUAUCUGGACGAUGACUGACGCUGAGACGCGAAAGCGUGGGGAGCAAACAGG
rnacentral:rRNA from 1 species